UCAUUUAGGAGAAACAUGGGUGAAAAGGUGCCACUGAUAGAUGAGACUAUAAUCUUGGUCUUGGGAAAACAAAUGCUGUGCAUUACCUUAACUCAACCUUUCUUCAACCAGGAUGGUGAAGCAGAAAAAGAAGCACUAAUAUCAUAAUGGUGCCCUCUCCUGGUUUGGGCCUCCUCGCACACCUGCGGCUCGUUGGGUCAUCACCAGAGGAGUAUUUGAGCAGUGGACUGUCACUACCUCGACGCCAGAGUGUUUGCCAGUAUUAAGUACUCUAGCCAAACUGAGAUUAGCUGAGUCUAAUUAUUGCCUUGUCUCUCUGAGUCUAAGCUUUGCCUUUGUUCUCCGGUAGGAGGUCUUCCUGAUCCAUUGGAUAAGCUUGGACCGUCUACCCCCCAUGGAAGGAAUUAUUUGAGUCACAUUGAGCAAGGGGAAACCUCCACCAGAUCCGUUAAAGUCUGCUUCAGGAAAAACCCGGUGACAGUCCGCUCCAUUGCUCCUCUGGACCCAACGCUAGUCUGCCUGUCCACCCUCCAACGAGUUCAUUAAUCUCUGGAUAAAACCCCACAAACUGGAUCCUAAGGAAAACCAAGAGCCCCCCAAAUAUUCCCGGUUCCGGUUCACCAGUCCGCUGAGGUUCAACUGAGUUUACCCUGCUGUAUAACCUCUCACUCUGUUUUUGUUAACCUACAACUAAACCAGUU